rnacentral:rRNA from 1 species
UACGGAUGGGGCAAGCGUUGUUCGGAAUCAUUGGGCGUAAAGGGCGCGUAGGCGGUCCGAUAAGUCGGCUGUGAAAGUCAGGGGCUCAACCCUUGGAAGCCGGCCGAUACUGCCGGACUAGAGUUCGGAAGAGGCGAGUGGAAUUCCCGGUGUAGCGGUGAAAUGCGCAGAUAUCGGGAGGAACACCUAUGGCGAAGGCAGCUCGCUGGGACGUUACUGACGCUGAGACGCGAAAGCGUGGGGAGCAAACAGG